GGCAAUUGCGGGGUGCUACCAUGCAGUCGACGAUGACGAAGAGCUUGCUCUUUUGAUUAGUGGCGCACGGGUGAGUAUACCAUAGAUAAUGUACCCCUUAGUUCGGGAUAGCCACUGGAAACGGUGAUUAAUACCGGAUACUCCUUCUCAUUAUAAGAUGAGUCGGGAAAGUUUUUUCGCUAAGGGAUCAGUCUAUGUCCUAUCAGCUAGUUGGUGAGGUAAUGGCUCACCAAGGCUAUGACGGGUAUCUGGUUUGAGAGGAUGAUCAGACACACUGGAACUGAGACACGGUCCAGACUCCUACGGGAGGCAGCAGUGAGGAAUAUUGCACAAUGGAGGAAACUCUGAUGCAGCAACGCCGCGUGGAGGAUGACGCAUUUCGGUGUGUAAACUCCUUUUAUUAGGGAAGAUAAUGACGGUACCUAAUGAAUAAGCACCGGCUAACUCCGUGCCAGCAGCCGCGGUAAUACGGAGGGUGCAAGCGUUACUCGGAAUCACUGGGCGUAAAGGGUGCGUAGGCUGGCUUCUAAGUCAGAUGUGAAAUCCAAUGGCUCAACCAUUGAACUGCAUUUGAAACUGGGAGCCUAGAGUUCAGAAGGGGCAGAUGGAAUUAGUGGUGUAGGGGUAAAAUCCGUAGAUAUCACUAGGAAUAUCAAAAGCGUAGGCGAUCUGCUGGGAUGAUACUGACGCUGAGGCACGAAAGCGUGAGGAGCAAACAGGAUUAGAUACCCUGGUAGUCCACGCCCUAACGAUGAAUGCUAGUCGUCGGGAAGCUCGUCUUUUCGGUGACGCACUUAACAGAUUAAGCAUUCCGCCUGGGGAGUACGGUCGCAAGAUUAAAACUCAAAGGAAUAGACGGGGACCCGCACAAGUGGUGGAGCAUGUGGUUUAAUUCGAAGAUACACGAAGAACCCUUACCUGGCCUUGACAUCCCAAGAACUUUCCAGAGAUGGGAUUGGUGCUAGCUUGCUAGAACUUGGUGACAGGUGCUGCACGGCUGUCGUCAGCUCGUGUCGUGAGAUGUUGGGUUAGUCCCGCAACGAGCGCACCCUCGUCUUUAGUGCACAGUCGGCUGAGCACUCUAAGAGACUGCUCGUAGGAGGAGAGGUGAAGGACGACGUCAGUCAUCAUGGGCCUACGGCCAGGCUUACACGUGCUACAUGCGUAAGGAGGUCAUACCUGAGGUGAACCAAUCUCUUAAGGGG
rnacentral:rRNA from 1 species